GAUUAUGGCUCAGGAUGAACGCUAGCGGCAGGCUUAACACAUGCAAGUCGAGGGGCAUCGGGAGUAGCAAUACUUGCCGGCGACCGGCGCAAGGGUGCGUAACGCGUGAGCAACAUGCCCGUAUCAGGGGGAUAAUCCAUGGAAACGUGGUCUAAUACCCCAUAGUAAUUAUGUAAGGCAUCUUAUAUAAUUUAAAGCUUUGGUGGAUACGGAUUGGCUCGCGUGACAUUAGCUGGAUGGUAAGGUAACGGCUUACCAUGGCUACGAUGUCUAGGGGUUCUGAGAGGAAGGUCCCCCACACUGGAACUGAGACACGGUCCAGACUCCUACGGGAGGCAGCAGUGAGGAAUAUUGGACAAUGGAUGGAAAUCUGAUCCAGCCAUGCCGCGUGCAGGAAGACGGCCCUAUGGGUUGUAAACUGCUUUUGUAUGGGAGCAAUAAGGGCUACGUGUAGUCCGAUGAGAGUACCAUACGAAUAAGCACCGGCUAACUCCGUGCCAGCAGCCGC
rnacentral:rRNA from 1 species